rnacentral:misc_RNA from 1 species
AACGCAAAUUGCGCCCUUUGGUAUUCCGAAGGGCAUGCCUGUUUGAGUGUCUUAUAAACCUCACCCUAUUGUUUAUUCAAUAGCUGGUGCUUUGGGUGUUGCCGUCUGGCUCGCCUUAAAUGACUAAGUGGAAUGCGUAAUAAGUUCUCGCAACCCUCCACUCUAACACACUUUAUAUUCUGACCUCAAAUCAGGUAGGACUACCCGCUGAACUUAA